AUGGCGGGAGGUUUCUUUCGUAUCAAGAGUGUGUUGGGGAGGCCUGGGAAAGACGGAUUGGAUCGAGAGGCGAUGCCUACUCUACUCGUUACCACUAAACGACGAAGCCAAGAGCGGAAGGAGGGACUUGAACCCUCAACCUCAGCCUUGGCAAGGCUAUGCUCUACCAUUAAGCUAUUUCUGCCAGCUACGGUAGUGGCGAAGCACUACUGA